UCCAUUGUAGUCUACUUGGCUCUCACCCGAGAGACCCGGGUUCGAGUCCCGGCAAGGGAA
rnacentral:tRNA from 1 species